rnacentral:lncRNA from 1 species
GCUGCGCAGUGGGAGUUGUAGCCAUGGGAACAACCUAGGGACCUGGCAAGGAAAGACUAGGCCAGACCUUAGCACCCCCUGUCAGGGACUUCCUGCUGGUUAAUCCUGCUUCCUCUGCCAGCAGGAAGUCAGCUAGCAAAGAAGCCCCAAUGAUAUAGUCUACAGCAGGCAGCCUGCCAGGGUGCAGAGCAGGGUAGAAAAUGGAUCGGAAGGGCAAAGGUGAGGUAGAGUUGGGAGACUUACCUGAGGUCACAUAGUCAGCUUCACCUGAUUGUCAGGAAAGUAACCCUGUGAACCCUAGCUGGGGAGAAGAACCUAAAGGCAAGAGAGAGAACCGUUCUAUAGGACCCGGGAGGAUUUGCCAUCAUCUGAAGGAAGAUGAGAAAACUGAAAUUUGGAGCAACAUACCCAGUACAUGCAGUGGAUGAGUAACAGUGAUAUGGUUUGGCUGUGUCC